UGCCAGCAGCCGCGGUAAUACGGGGGAUGCAAGCGUUAUCCGGAAUCAUUGGGCGUAAAGCGCCUGUAGGUUGUUUAGUAAGUCCAUUGUUAAAGACCAGGGCUUAACCCUGGGAAAGCAAUAGAAACUACUAGACUUGAGUAUGGCAGGGGUAGAGGGAAUUUCUAGUGUAGCGGUGAAAUGCGUAGAUAUUAGAAAGAACACCGGUGGCGAAAGCGCUCUACUGGACCAUUACUGACACUGAGAGGCGAAAGCUAGGGUAGCAAAAGGGAUUAGAUACCCCUGUAGUCCUAGCCGUAAACGAUGGAUACUAGGUGUUGUGCAGUUCGUACAGUAUCUUAGCUAACGCGUUAAGUAUCCCGCCUGGGGAGUACGCUCGCAAGGGUGAAACUCAAAGGAAUUGACGGGGGCCCGCACAAG
rnacentral:rRNA from 1 species